GCCCCCGUAGCCCAAUUGGCAGAGGCAGGCGACUUAAAAUCGCCGCAGUCUGGGUUCGAACCCCAGCGGGGGCA
rnacentral:tRNA from 1 species